UACGGAGGGGGCUAGCGUUGUUCGGAAUUACUGGGCGUAAAGGGCGCGUAGGCGGUCCUGAUCGUCGGAUGUGAAAGGCCUGGGCUCAACCUGGGAAUGGCAUCCGAUACGGCGGGACUGGAGUGUGGGAGAGGUUGGUGGAAUUCCCAGUGUAGAGGUGAAAUUCGUAGAUAUUGGGAAGAACACCGGUGGCGAAGGCGGCCAACUGGACCACAACUGACGCUGAGGCGCGAAAGCGUGGGGAGCAAACAGG
rnacentral:rRNA from 1 species